rnacentral:rRNA from 4 species
GGGUUGUGAGGUUAAGCGACUAAGCGUACACGGUGGAUGCCCUGGCAGUCAGAGGCGAUGAAGGACGUGCUAAUCUGCGAUAAGCGUCGGUAAGGUGAUAUGAACCGUUAUAACCGGCGAUUUCCGAAUGGGGAAACCCAGUGUGUUUCGACACACUAUCAUUAACUGAAUCCAUAGGUUAAUGAGGCGAACCGGGGGAACUGAAACAUCUAAGUACCCCGAGGAAAAGAAAUCAACCGAGAUUCCCCCAGUAGCGGCGAGCGAACGGGGAGCAGCCCAGAGCCUGAAUCAGUGUGUGUGUUAGUGGAAGCGUCUGGAAAGGCGCGCGAUACAGGGUGACAGCCCCGUACACAAAAAUGCACAUACUGUGAGCUCGAUGAGUAGGGCGGGACACGUGGUAUCCUGUCUGAAUAUGGGGGGACCAUCCUCCAAGGCUAAAUACUCCUGACUGACCGAUAGUGAACCAGUACCGUGAGGGAAAGGCGAAAAGAACCCCGGCGAGGGGAGUGAAAAAGAACCUGAAACCGUGUACGUACAAGCAGUGGGAGCACGCUUCGGCGUGUGACUGCGUACCUUUUGUAUAAUGGGUCAGCGACUUAUAUUCUGUAGCAAGGUUAACCGAAUAGGGGAGCCGAAGGGAAACCGAGUCUUAACUGGGCGUUAAGUUGCAGGGUAUAGACCCGAAACCCGGUGAUCUAGCCAUGGGCAGGUUGAAGGUUGGGUAACACUAACUGGAGGACCGAACCGACUAAUGUUGAAAAAUUAGCGGAUGACUUGUGGCUGGGGGUGAAAGGCCAAUCAAACCGGGAGAUAGCUGGUUCUCCCCGAAAGCUAUUUAGGUAGCGCCUCGUGAAUUCAUCUCCGGGGGUAGAGCACUGUUUCGGCAAGGGGGUCAUCCCGACUUACCAACCCGAUGCAAACUGCGAAUACCGGAGAAUGUUAUCACGGGAGACACACGGCGGGUGCUAACGUCCGUCGUGAAGAGGGAAACAACCCAGACCGCCAGCUAAGGUCCCAAAGUCAUGGUUAAGUGGGAAACGAUGUGGGAAGGCCCAGACAGCCAGGAUGUUGGCUUAGAAGCAGCCAUCAUUUAAAGAAAGCGUAAUAGCUCACUGGUCGAGUCGGCCUGCGCGGAAGAUGUAACGGGGCUAAACCAUGCACCGAAGCUGCGGCAGCGACACUAUGUGUUGUUGGGUAGGGGAGCGUUCUGUAAGCCUGUGAAGGUGUACUGUGAGGUAUGCUGGAGGUAUCAGAAGUGCGAAUGCUGACAUAAGUAACGAUAAAGCGGGUGAAAAGCCCGCUCGCCGGAAGACCAAGGGUUCCUGUCCAACGUUAAUCGGGGCAGGGUGAGUCGACCCCUAAGGCGAGGCCGAAAGGCGUAGUCGAUGGGAAACAGGUUAAUAUUCCUGUACUUGGUGUUACUGCGAAGGGGGGACGGAGAAGGCUAUGUUGGCCGGGCGACGGUUGUCCCGGUUUAAGCGUGUAGGCUGGUUUUCCAGGCAAAUCCGGAAAAUCAAGGCUGAGGCGUGAUGACGAGGCACUACGGUGCUGAAGCAACAAAUGCCCUGCUUCCAGGAAAAGCCUCUAAGCAUCAGGUAACAUUAAAUCGUACCCCAAACCGACACAGGUGGUCAGGUAGAGAAUACCAAGGCGCUUGAGAGAACUCGGGUGAAGGAACUAGGCAAAAUGGUGCCGUAACUUCGGGAGAAGGCACGCUGAUAUGUAGGUGAAGUCCCUCGCGGAUGGAGCUGAAAUCAGUCGAAGAUACCAGCUGGCUGCAACUGUUUAUUAAAAACACAGCACUGUGCAAACACGAAAGUGGACGUAUACGGUGUGACGCCUGCCCGGUGCCGGAAGGUUAAUUGAUGGGGUUAGCGGUAACGCGAAGCUCUUGAUCGAAGCCCCGGUAAACGGCGGCCGUAACUAUAACGGUCCUAAGGUAGCGAAAUUCCUUGUCGGGUAAGUUCCGACCUGCACGAAUGGCGUAAUGAUGGCCAGGCUGUCUCCACCCGAGACUCAGUGAAAUUGAACUCGCUGUGAAGAUGCAGUGUACCCGCGGCAAGACGGAAAGACCCCGUGAACCUUUACUAUAGCUUGACACUGAACAUUGAGCCUUGAUGUGUAGGAUAGGUGGGAGGCUUUGAAGUGUGGACGCCAGUCUGCAUGGAGCCGACCUUGAAAUACCACCCUUUAAUGUUUGAUGUUCUAACGUUGACCCGUGAUCCGGGUUGCGGACAGUGUCUGGUGGGUAGUUUGACUGGGGCGGUCUCCUCCUAAAGAGUAACGGAGGAGCACGAAGGUUGGCUAAUCCUGGUCGGACAUCAGGAGGUUAGUGCAAUGGCAUAAGCCAGCUUGACUGCGAGCGUGACGGCGCGAGCAGGUGCGAAAGCAGGUCAUAGUGAUCCGGUGGUUCUGAAUGGAAGGGCCAUCGCUCAACGGAUAAAAGGUACUCCGGGGAUAACAGGCUGAUACCGCCCAAGAGUUCAUAUCGACGGCGGUGUUUGGCACCUCGAUGUCGGCUCAUCACAUCCUGGGGCUGAAGUAGGUCCCAAGGGUAUGGCUGUUCGCCAUUUAAAGUGGUACGCGAGCUGGGUUUAGAACGUCGUGAGACAGUUCGGUCCCUAUCUGCCGUGGGCGCUGGAGAACUGAGGGGGGCUGCUCCUAGUACGAGAGGACCGGAGUGGACGCAUCACUGGUGUUCGGGUUGUCAUGCCAAUGGCACUGCCCGGUAGCUAAAUGCGGAAGAGAUAAGUGCUGAAAGCAUCUAAGCACGAAACUUGCCCCGAGAUGAGUUCUCCCUGACUCCUUGAGAGUCCUGAAGGAACGUUGAAGACGACGACGUUGAUAGGCCGGGUGUGUAAGCGCAGCGAUGCGUUGAGCUAACCGGUACUAAUGAACCGUGAGGCUUAACCUUACAACGCCGAAGGUGUUU